UGGAACUGGGAGAGGCUGCAGACAGGGGUCUCACCUGUCUGUGGGAGGGGUUGAUGCCCAGUCCUGAGGUUCCAUGAAAUAGGUAGACAGCACCCCGGCUCUCCUGCUCUCCUGGGGCCCCGAUGGCCACGUCUGUCAGCUUGUCCCCAUUCACAUCCCCCAGCACUGUCAGGGCUGCCCCAAAGCGGCCCCACGGGUGGCCCUGCUCCCCACAGAGAAUGACCUCACACUGCCACUUAGCCCUCUGCAGAACAAAACCAGUGUCAGGUCCCAACCCAGGCAAUCCCUCCACCCCACACCCAGGCCUCACCCAGCCCAGCUCUCAUCAGACACUCACCCCCUGGGGCAAGGGGCACACAGACACCUGGCCCCCCCGGGUCGGCUUGUAGUAAUGGGGAGCCCCGAUGAGGACAAGGUCAGAGCUGCCAUCUCCAUCCACAUCCACAGUGCAGAGGGAGGCCCCAAAGUAAGAGCCAAUCUGCAAGGCAGAGCCUGAAGUCAUCCUGCCUGCCCCUGCCAGAGGCACCCCCUUCUGGGACAGGACCCACUUCUCCCCAGCCACCAGGACCUUCCCCCCACAGGCUUCCAAACCCCUUCAUCUCCUCCCCCUCUGCCCCUGGAGACCCUGCCACCUUCAUGUUCCACUUUGGCUUCCUCAACACCCAACCUGAGUCCCUGCAACUUCAGCCUUCGGCCUCCAUUGCCCAGAUGCCUGGGUGAAGAUGACAGCUUUCCCGUCCUCUUCAGCAACUUCAGUGUCCCUCACUCCUAAUGUCUCUCAGCCAUCCCCAGUGCCACUGUUCCGACAGUGACAUUGAAGACAGAAUCUGCUUUCUUAUUUACUUCUGCGUCCCAACUCCCAGCACAGGGUUGGCCCAGGAUUGGUGCCUGAGACCUGUUUAUCAAGUACGUGUUCCACCCACCAUUGUGAGUACUGAACUGAAGCCUUCUUGUGACAUCUCAUGUUGGAAGGAGCUACUUGUCCUCGACUGGGUUCCUGUGGGGAAACAGGUCAUUUAGGCUCUGGGGGCCAUGAGACCACAAGGACUCAGAGCAGAAGGAGAAGAAUGAAUCUGAAGCUCAGGUUCUGGGGCACAAUUUUGGGUGAGCUGUGAAUAAGGAUGGCCUCUCAGAACUUCAGGGAACAACUGGGUCCAGAACCUUUCUAUUCCAAGACCCAAGCUCGCCCUGCAUUUACCCUCAACUGCAAAGAUCUUCUCUUGCAGCUGCUCCUGGAUGCUGCUGAGUGCCCCAAAGUUGUCCACCCUGAACACGUGGUCUUGAGAGGGCACUGAGCCAAUGGUGUUCAGCUCCUGCCUGGCAGUGGGUUCCUGGAAAGCAUUUCCCACCUGUGGCAGAGAGACAGCUGAGGAGGAGCCCACCAGCCUUUCUGCCUGGGUGAGGUUGAGCCUGAGUCUGAGGGUGACAUGAGGAAAAGGACAUACCCCAAUGGCAUAGCGAAUGAUGCCAGCUCUCUCUGCCUGAGGGAUGACAUCUCUGUACUCCAGGGGGUCUCUGUAUUUCUGCCCAUCUGUGAUGACAAUGAGGAUCUUCUUGGCACUUUUACGGGCCCCAUUCUUACUAUGAAAUAGUUCUUUCCUGUCAAGGAAGAAAGGGAGAUGACUCUCUGUAGAUGAAAUUGAUUCUGGAAAGAAAUAAUCUGUAGCAGUAGAAGCUCAUAUGGAGAGAUUGGGGAGUCCUGGUACCAUCAGACUGUGUCAGCCAUGUUUAAAAAAAAAUUGCCUCAACCUUUUUUGAAAGUCAUGCAAUGAUUAGUAAGAUCAAUAAUAAAGGUACUCAUAUUCCUUUUUCUAUAAUUCCAUCUACCAUGGAACCUCAUUUCCAGGAGGCAGUAUGGUUCAGAGUAGGAACUUUACAGUCUGACAGACUUGGACAGUUGCUUUACCUCUUUGAGCCUCUGUUUCUCUCUGUGAAGGUGAGAAUAAUAAUUGUACCAUAGCUGUUCUUCAAAGAGGACCCCCAGUGUGCCACACCUGGUUCCCUUCCCAUAUUGAGUCUGACCUGUGACCAGUUUCAGCAGUAGCAUGAAAUGGAAGUGACACCAUGCCAAUUAUGGGCCUAAGAAGCCUUGUUAGCUCUUUCAUUUUGGGAAGCCCUGAGCCACCAUGAGGGAAGUCUAUAGCUCAAGACUUCUGUAGCUUCUAUAGCUAUGGAGAGGAAGGCUCCUCCAUCCCAGCUGAACCCAGCCUUCCAGCGAGUCCUGCCCAGGCAGGACCAUGUGAAUGAAUCUCUCAUGUUCCAGCUUCUGAAAACAGAUGAGUCCCAAAUCACGAAAAAUAUUAAUAAAAGAGUUGUUGCUUAAGCCACUAAAUUUGGGAGUGGUUUUUUAGGCAACAAUAGAUAAAUGAGAUAAAUCAUAAGAGGUUAUUUUGAGGAUCAAAUGAGGGAAAGCCUUUAAAACAGUGAAUGGCCAAAGGUAAGCAUUAAUUCUGUGGUAGCUAUUACAAAUGAUUAAAAAUGUAACUAUAUGCUCAUAUAGUUCUAUAAAUGCAGAAUAAACACACACACACACACACACACAUACUCAACAUAUAAUACUGGAAACAAGCUAAAUGUCCAAGAUCAGGGAAGGGGUUUAGCAAAUCAUGAUCCACCUGCUUUGUAAGAAAGUACAGAGCCAUUUCAAAGGAAAACAGUAAAAGCUGUAGAGAAACAUGGCACAGGUUCAUGUAGUAGAUGAAA